UGUCCCAUGGGAUAAUAAAAAUCCCAUGGGAUUUUUUUUGUCCCAUGGGAUUUUUUUUGUCCCAUGGGACA
rnacentral:sRNA from 1 species